rnacentral:rRNA from 1 species
UACGUAGGGGGCAAGCGUUUGUCCGGAUUUAUUGGGCGUAAAGAGCGUGUAGGCGGCUUUGCAAGUCCGUUGUGAAAACUCGAGGCUCAACCUCGAGACGCCGGUGGAAACUGCAAGCUAGAGUUCGGUAGGGGAGAUCGGAAUUCCUGGUGUAGCGGUGAAAUGACGCAGAUAUCAGGAGGAACACCGGUGGCGAAGGCGGAUCUCUGGGCCGAUACUGACGCUGAGGAGCGAAAGCGUGGGGAGCGAACAGG